rnacentral:lncRNA from 1 species
CCAAAAGGGCGGAAGCGGCUCGGGAGUGCUGAAGGUUGAUCUGGAUCACCCUCAGAUCUAUGACCUUACAGACAUCUAAGGUGGGCAAAGAACCAUGGCCUCCUCCAUAACCUGGGCAUUGGAGAAACCAGUGUUACCCCCGGAAACCCCAUCCCUAUCAGCGAGCCUGACUGGUUCAUGCCCCUUUGCAGGAGCAAUCACCGAAGCUAUCUGUCUUCCAGAUCUGGAAUUAGAAUCUGAAAGCACCUUAAAGGUUCCUAAAUCGACUCCAGAAAAGGCCCUUAAAAUUGGCAUCCUUGAUCACCUUUGCCAAAGCAAGAUCGAACAACAUAAUCAGACACUGACCCUUAGCAUCCCUGCUACGGCCCAAGACUCUCCAG